UACGUAGGGUGCGAGCGUUGUCCGGAAUUAUUGGGCGUAAAGAGCUCGUAGGCGGUCUGUCGCGUCGGAUGUGAAAGCCUGGGGCUUAACUCCGGGUCUGCAUUCGAUACGGGCAGACUAGAGUGUGGUAGGGGAGAUCGGAAUUCCUGGUGUAGCGGUGAAAUGCGCAGAUAUCAGGAGGAACACCGGUGGCGAAGGCGGAUCUCUGGGCCAUUACUGACGCUGAGGAGCGAAAGCGUGGGGAGCGAACAGG
rnacentral:rRNA from 1 species